GGGGUUGUUCUUCAAUAAGAAAAGAAUUCUGCAAUCAUCCACUUUAGUUGUUUUCUGUGGUCUCCCAGGCCUUUUGGUGUUGCUGAGCUCGCCAGUGCAUUCCUUCUUUUUAAGAAUGUACCAAAUUGUUGAUUUGGCCCUCCUAAAGUUUCUGCUAUCUCUCUGAUAGGUCUGUUUUGGUUUUUCAGCCUAAUGACGGCCUCCUUCACUUGCAUCAACACUUCUUUGGACGGCAUAUUGAGAGUUCCCAUGAGCAGCUACCAAAUGCAAAUUCAACACUUGGAAUCAGCUCCAGACCUUUUAUCUCCUUAAUUUAUCAUAAUAUAAGGAGGAAACAGGCCACAGCUGGCCAUGAAACUGCUUAUCAGUCAAUUGUCCCAUUACUUUUGAGCCUGUGAAAAUGGAGGAACUCUGUAAAAAAAUGGCUGUAAUUCCUAAACGGUUAAUGCAAUAUUUUUGUUAAACCCCUUGAAUUAAAGCUGAAAGUCUACGCUUCAGUCACAUCUUGACUGCUUCAUUUCAAAUCCACUGUGGUGGUGUACAGAGGCAAAAUUACCAAAACUGUGUCACUGUCCCAAUAUUUAUGGACCUGACUGUAUUGCUUAAAACCAAUUAAGACAAGGAUUUGUUGCUGCUUGCCAGUUACAUUUAGAGCAUUUGGCAGAUGCCCUUACCCAGCGCAACUUACAAUUACCUCACUUACACAACUGAGCAGUUGAGGAUUAAGGGCCUUGCUCAAGUGCCCAGUAGUGGCAGCUUGGUAGCGCAGGGAUUUGAACUCUUAACCUUCCAAACAGAAGCCCAAGUUCUUAACCACUGAGCUACCACAUCCCCCACUUAGUUAUGGUGGCUAUGUUUACUCAAGUACACCUAGCAUAUGACAUAAUUUAUCAUAACAUUAUAGCAGCUGUCAUGACAGUUACCUGUAAUGGUAACUUGACAUUGCUACAUAACCUACACUAUAUGGCCAAAAGUUGGUGGACACUUGACCAUCACACCUAUACAUGGGCUUUCUCCAAACUGUUGCCACAAAGCUGGAAGCACACAAUUGUAUAGGAUGUCUUUAUAUGCGUUACAGUUUCAUUUUACUGAAACAUCCUGUUCCAGCAUGACACUGCUCCUGUGCACAAAGCGUGGUCCAUGAAGACAUGGUUUGCCAAGGUUGGAGCAGAAGAACUCAAGUGGCCUGAACAGAUCCCUGACUUCAACCCCACUGAACACCUUUGGGAUGAAUUGGAACACCCAGGGCCUUCUCACCUGCCAUCAGUGCUUGACCUCACUAAUGCUCUUGUGGCUGAAUGGGCAAAUCCCCACAGCCACACCAGUGGAAUUCUUCCCAGAAGGGUGGAGGUUAUUAUAACAGCAAAGGGGGGACUAAAUUUGGAACGGGCUGUUCAAAAAGCACAUAUGAGUAUGAUGGUCAGGUGUCCACAAACGUUUGGCCAUAUAGUGUAAUUAGGGCAUGUUUAUGUCAGAUUUAUAACACAAAGUUCAUGUUUAGCUCAAAAAUACAUGUAAUCUAAUAACAAAUAUACAAAGCAGCAUAGCAGUAUUAGCUAAGGCAUCAUUGCAAGUGCUGAUAUUAGACUAUUCUUUAGAAAACGAUCUCUGUGACCAUGGCAUUCACAGGAGAACCAGCACAUCUGUCUACUGAGCAGAGGUCACUGGUUACUAUGGAGACCAGGCUGCUCAUUCAGACAAUUAUUAGCCCCGUCCCAAGCCACAUGAAAAGUUUUCAGAGUGGUCCUAAAAUAGUUUUGCUGAAAUAAUUUUAGCUAUCUCUCCACUGUGUAGUGGAUACAUUACUGAUUUUUUUCCUCUACACAUUUCUGGUAUCAGAUAUCCUCAUAUUGUAGUCAGCUAGAUAAGUUAAUUUGGCUAACUGUCCAUGGAGAAACACUAACAUCUCCCAGGCACACUUAAGAGAGAUUUAAAACAUAGACCUAAAAUAUCACUAUUGUUAGUUGUCACCCCCUUCAACAUAAAUAUUGACCAGGUAACAUUACCUUCGAAUGUCUCUGACUGAAUAUAUCGCCAAAAUAACUAGCUGUUCAAUUUCAGUACAUUUACUUUAGUUGACUGACCCAUUUGUGAGGAUUGUUUCAUUUCUGAACUAUAACUACUAUUACUAUAAUUGCAAUAAUAAUUAAAGACAAUAUAUAUUUUUUUAAUUUACUGAGCUCUGAAACUUGCAGGACUGAGAAUGGUUAUGCUAGAAUAAAGAUUUCCAGUAGGCUUAUGAAUGAUUGCACAAAUAGAAAAUAAAGAAUUUCAUAUGGAUAUUUAUGAACUGUUUUGUUUGUUCCUUAUUGAUCUUGGACACUAAUGAUAUCAACCUUGUUUACAAGGAGAUACUUCAAGGCAAGUCAGCAGAUAAAAAGGAACCUCUAAGUCUUAACUGCAGAACUUGAGAAAGAAUCAUUUCUACGUACAAAAAAAUGUAUCAUGUUGAAAAACAUGUAUAGUCUUGUGUCUUAACUGAUCUCCAACUGAGACCAUCUGACUUAGAUUACAGAAUAAUUAGUUUAACCCUUCAUAGGAUAUUUCUUGGUGGUUGUUUUUUACAAGAGCUUUUCCUUAUGGCAUUUAUAAAUGACAAAAUCCCACAGAGGGCUAAUGAUCUGAAAAUUCUAUAAGCCACUUAUCAAACCUAUCAAGGAUUUCAGCAAGAUUAUAAACACAUCAAUACAAGCAAAGGCAGUGCAAAAAAUCAGUUCCACUCAGUGAUCUGCACUAAGCUGUUGCUGUGAGUUUCAAAUCAAAUUUGGGAUUCACCCAGUGGCCAACUAAACAGACUGCUGAAAGAGAUGGGUGGUGAUGAAUAGCAGGUCUGUUGCAGAACUGGGAGCCAGCGGUAGAUACAAGGACAUUUGUAAGUGAAUCAUGUCCAGAUACUACGCCUGAAUACUGGGAUUUAACUCUCCUAAAGCACUAACAGAAUCAUAUCAGGCCUACCAAACACUGAAGCAUAUUCUGCACCUUGUACACAAUCAAUUCACACUGUACUCAAAGCAUACUGACUGACAUCAGUUCAUGGAUACAUAGCUUACAGGAAACACAACUUACAUCCAAACAAAUCCAGGGCUCUGUGCAACUCCAACCUCUUUGUCUUUUAAAUGUCAAUAACAGUGCAAAAAGAGAUAAGUGCACAAACAGACGUCCUUUGUAUGGCUCUACGUGUUAAAAUUAUAGGAAUGACUUACCCAUGUAACUCUCAAGCCUGUUAAUACAUCAAUCCUAAAGAAAUACAUAAUGACAGACUGAAUUAAUCUCUAUUGAGGAAGUCGGCUUUUGGCUGCAUGAGAAACAACACUGCUUUCACUUGCCCUGAAUGCACUCACUGUAUACAUCAACAGUGGUGAACUGCCAAGCUUUCUUCAUUAAAAAGGUUAAAAAGUAAGAAGAAGCGCUGAUCUUAUUUUGUCUUGGCAAACACAUGAUUUCAGGCAUUACUAAGAUUGGUUAGUAUGAAAUAAGGAUAAUCCAUAAUCAUGAGGAUAAUCCAUAAUCAAAACACAAAAACAGAGAACACAGGAAACAAAAGCAUGGACUUAAGAAGACAAAAGCAUGGCUUUGCAAGGAGGAAUAACAGAAACAACAAGGCAGAAAUGAUCAAAUUAAUCAAGGUGAGACACCGAACAGGUGAACAUAUUAGGGUAAUCAACCAGUGCCAUGACAUGAGUGGAGACAGGGCCAAAAUCCAAACAAAUGCAUAUAUCAUAGCAAACAGCACACAUCAGUCCCAAGCUGAGAGCGGGAACAUACACUCACUGUCCACUUCAUUAGGAACACCUGUAUACCUGCUCAUUUAUGCAGUUAUCCAAUCAGCCAGUCAUGUGGCAGCAGCCCAGUACAUAAAAUCAUGCAGAUACAGGUCAAGAACUUAAUGAAGUUGAAGUUAAUGUUCACAUCAAACAUCAGAAUGUGGAAGAAGUGUGAUCUCUGUGACUUUAACUCUGACAUGGCUGUUGGUGCCAGGUGGGCUGGUUUGAGUAUUUCAGAAACUGCUAAUCUCCUGAGAACAUUGAGUGUUGAUAAGAGAGGUCAGAGGAAAAUGGCCAGAUUGUUUCGAGUGGUGUGUGGAGGGUCUGCAGGCUGAAACACCCUGUUGAUGAUAUCAGAGGAGAAUGACCAGACUGAUCUGAGCUGACAGGAAAUCUAUAGAAACGCAAAUAAUCACUCUUUACAACCGUUGUGAGCAAUAAAGCAUCUCAGAACAGACAGCACAUCAAACCUUGAGGUGAAUGGGCUACAACAGCAGAACUGUGGUGAGCAGAAAAGCAUCUCAGAACAUAAGGUGGAUAGGCUACAACAGCAGAAGACCACAACAGGUUCCAUUCCUGUCAGCCAAGAACAGGAAUCUGAGGCUAUCAUGGGCGCAGACUCACCCAAACUGGACAGCUGAAGACUGGGAAAAGACCAGGUGUUUUUUUUUUUUUAAAUCUUCAACUGUUUCCACCCACAGAACUGUUGAUCAUUCAAUGUUUUUUGUUUUUCUCACCAUUCUGUGUAAACUCUAGAGACUGUUGUGUGUGAAAAUCUCAGGAGCUCAGCAGUUUCUGAAAUAUUCAAACCAGCCCAUCUAGCACCAACAACCAUGCCAUGGGAUUAUCCUAUGAUUGCCUUGACUGCGGAUUUUUGACUCCCACUGCCUGUAGUGAUGCCAAUUCCUGGAUUAUCCCAAAUAAAGAUACUCUGCACAUGCA